UGGUUAAUGUUUCUCAAAAUGGACAAACAGCACUAUUGCCCCUUUUUUUCUCGUAUUUCAAGCGAGUGUAUUUUAAGGGAGUAUGCAAGCACACUCGUUCGAUUCAGCUAGCCGAGCAAUUUUACAUCGAACUAAGAUGUUUGGUGCAGUAUUUCGCAAUGAAAUGUUUUAAUGAAUGCCAACUAAUACUUAAUUGAAGAAUCCCUACAGCUGUUGACCAAUCACGUACACUUCAACUGCUGAAUUUAGCCUGGCCUUGAGCAAAAAUGUAGUGUGCACGAACACCCGAAAAAAAACUACCGAAGUCCAAACUGACAAAAACUUAAAAUUCUAUCAUAAUAUAUGCAUGAACUCUUCCGAAAUGUUAUGGCUGGGAGACAUGCGGACCCUUGCCUAUGCUAAUAGAAUACAGGCAGUCUAUGUCGCAUUAUAAACAGAUUACACGGUUCAUAGACAUUAUUAUAAUUUCCUAGCACUCAACCAAACAAAAAAUGCAAGGCUGGUUGGAAUAUGAUCCUUAUUAAUUAACAGUGCACCCGCUGUUUUCCGAGCAAGUAACUCUGCUUAAAAGUAAUAAGGACUGGCACACUGACAAUAAACAGGUAUACUGCUAGCUGGUUAACUGACAAACAUACAGUAAUCUACACAGUUAAGAUUGUUAAACAAUCUCCAUGACCAAUCGACAAGCCAAUCAGACUUCCACUCCCUCUCCAUUCUCUGUAGUGCAGGUGUGUGGGUAAGGGCACAGAUAUAGGUCUGAGUGGCAGCAUCACGGGAGGAGCAGUAAGGCCCUAUGUCUUUCUGCAGGACCACCUGAUGUGAGGUGGCCAUGGGUUGGUGCUGCUGCCGAAUGCUGCUCUGCUGGCUCCUUUCCAUCGCACUUUCCCUCUGGGCCCUAAACACUACAGGCCAAGGUUCAGUGUCAGGGCCUGGGAUGGAGUGAGGACUCUGGGCUAAGGCAGUCAGGUAUGUCUGUGUGCCAACCUCACAGAGCAAGGACCUCGACUGAUAUCUGGCAACUCUGUCCCAAACCUGCCACGGGUGCAAAACAUUGGACUGGGAUGGUGAUGUCCCAAUGAUGUUGGUCUCCAGGUCCUUUGACCCAAUGUCUGUCCUAUGGAGGUCUCUACCCAGAUUUAUCCCAAUGCUGUCUGCUUUGGGGUGGACUGUCCGAAGUUGGUCCAUUCUGAGCUGCUUACAAUCAUUUCU